rnacentral:rRNA from 1 species
GACAGAGGUGCCGAGCGUUAGGCGGAAUCACUGGGCUUAAAGCGUGUGUAGGCGGAUGUGUAAGUGCCUUGUGAAAUCCCACGGCUCAACCGUGGAACUGCUCGGUAUACUGCUCGUCUUGAGCCAACUAGGGGCGACCGGAACAAACGGUGGAGCGGUGAAAUGCGUAGAUAUCGUUUGGAACGCCGAUGGUGAAAACAGGUCGCUGGGGUUGUGCUGACGCUGAGACACGAAAGCCAGGGGAGCGAACGGG